CUAUCAAAAUCAUUGUGUGCCAAAAGUGUGCCAUAAAGAUUUAGAAACGACUUGUCUGUUACGUUACAGACCUAUCUAAGAACGGCUUAUCAGUGCAGUUUCAGUUUAGAAGUUUGCACCAAUUUUAAACCACCUGGGUCAUCAUGACUCAUGACAGGAACAAAGAGAAAGGAGAAAACAGCAACAUAGACCGUGAAUGAAGAGAGAAUAUGGACUGAUGAUGAAUCAGUAAAUCCUCCACAAAGAAUAGACUAAGAGGGCAUUUAUCUGCAGGAAAGGAUUCUGCUAACUAAGAGCAUGGACUAAAAAUACUUGCAUAAUGUUGGAAAGGAAGCCCCCCCCCAAUCAUGAAAAGUUAGUUGAAAUCUCAGAGUGAACUUAAAGUACAUGUACCAAGAAAGUAGUUAAUAAAUAUUCCUAUCAAAUGUGUUGCAUGCAUGGUUAGAACGUCUGCUCUCAAGUCACGAAGUUAGGAGUUGAAUUCCACUGUGGAACGUGGAGACUGGUCCUUCGGAUGAGACUGUAUAAACUGAGGUCCCAUGUUGCAGUAGGUGAUGAUCAAAAAAGAUCCUGCUCAAUGGCCCUGAGUGCGAAUUGAUGUAGUAAAGGACAAAAUUUGCAGCUUUCCCACGGCAAAUGUUGGCAUCUCCUUAUGAGUGAAAAAUUCUCAUGAGGGACGUUAAACAAUAUACAAUCAAUCAAUUAAUGGGAAAUGCAACAGAUGAGGACACUCUUUCAACAUGACAUGGAUUCUUCAAGGGAAUUUUGUUGUUGUUUUUCUAAAAGUGAUAGAAUCAAGACACUGGACAAAAUGGUCUCCUUUUACUGUGUAAAUAAUAUUGUGAGAUUUAAGUGUCUUCUGACCAAAUUAGACAAGUGACCAUUUACUCUACUUUAUUUCUUUAAUAUAUUUAGUCAAUAUUGUUGGGGGAAAUUGAAAGAUUCUGCCUGUCACAAAUGGACAUUGAUUUCAAGUGGCAGAUAAAAAAAGUUUUGACUUUAUUAUACAUGCAUUAUACUAGAAUAAGAAUUGUUUACUUAGCAUAGCUUAUUUUAAAUUUGAAUAAGUGAUAAUGCAGAUGUUUGUAUAUUAUUUUCCCCCAUCAUGUUCUUUCUUCAUUUUAGGCCAAAAAAAAAAUAAUAGUCUUGUUUCCUGCUACCAGCUACCAGUAAACUUGCUGCAACU